AAACAAACAAACAAAGAAGACUGAGGAUCUCCAACAAAAGCAAAAGUACUCCCAUGUUUCUUCUCUCUUUCUUCUGUUUCUCUCUCUUCUUUCCCCUCUCUCUCUUCU
rnacentral:ribozyme from 13 species